CCUACGGGCGGCAGCAGUGAGGAAUAUUGGUCAAUGGACGAGAGUCUGAACCAGCCAAGUAGCGUGAAGGAUGACUGCCCUAUGGGUUGUAAACUUCUUUUAUAUGGGAAUAAAAUGUGCCACGUGUGGGAUUUUGUAUGUACCAUAUGAAUAAGGAUCGGCUAACUCCGUGCCAGCAGCCGCGGUAAUACGGAGUAUCCGAGGGUUAUCCGGAUUUAUUGGGGUUAAGGGGAGCGUAGGUGGAUUGUUAAGGUCGUUGUGAAAGUUUGCGGCUCAACCGUAAAAUUGCAGUUGAAACUGGCAGGCUUGAGUACAGUAGAGGUGGGCGGAAUUCGUGGUGUAGCGGUGAAAUGCUUAGAUAUCACGAAGAACUCCGAUUGCGAAGGCAGCUCACUGGACUGCAACUGACACUGAGGCUCGAACGUGUGGGUAUCAAACAGGAUUAGAUACCCCAGUAGUC
rnacentral:rRNA from 1 species